ensembl:lncRNA
GAUAUGUUAUAUUGGAACCCUGGUGAGCAGAGGAGCAUUAGUUCGACAUGUUAUAUUGGAACCCUGGUGAGCAGAGGGGGCGGUAGUUCGACAUGUUAUAUUGGAACCCUGGUGAGCAGAGGAGCGGUAGUUCGACAUGUUAUAUUGGAACCCUGGUGAGCAGAGGGGGGGUAGGUCGACAUGUCGGCAUCCUGGUUGCAUCAGUGCCUGGUAUGGCAACUGCUCGGCCUUCGACCGCAAGGCACUACAAGAGGGUGUACGGCCCAGUACAUCACUGGGACCAAGCUUCCUGCCAUCCAGGACCUCUAUACCAGGCAGUGUCAGAGGAAGGCCCUAAAAAUGGUCAAAGACUCCAGCCCCCUAGUCAUAGACUGUUCUCUCUGCUACCGCACGGCAAGCGGUACCAGAUCUCCAUGUAUAGGUCCAAAAGGCUUCUCAACAGCUUCUACCCCCAAGCCAUAAGACUCCUGAACAUCUAAUCAAAUGGCUACCCAGACUAUUUGCAUUGUCCCCCCAUCCCCUCUUUUACGCUGCUGCUGCUCUCUGUUUAUUAUCUAUGCAUAGUCACUUUAACUCUACCUACAUGUACAUAUUACCUCAAUUACCUGGACUAACCGGUGCUCCCGCACAUUGACUCUGUACCUGUAACCCCUGUAUAGAGCCUCGCUAUUGUUAUCUACUGCUGCUCUUUAAUUAUUUGUUACUUUUCUUUCUUAUUUUUUACUUAACGUAUUUUUCUUAAAACAUUGUUGGUUAAGGGCUUGUAAGUAAGUAUUUCACUGUAAGGUUGUUACCUGUUGUAUUUGGUGUAUGUGACAAAUAACAUGUGAUUUGAUUUGAUUCAACACUGACCAACUUUGAGCGACUUUAACACUGACCACUUUAACACUGACUGACUUGCAUCCAGACUCUGAUACUGGUUAGUUAGCAUGUUUCCACUGUUUGUUUUCUUUUCUCUUCCUUCUCCCUCAUCACUCUUUCUCAGGAGACUCUGUUCCCACAACACCCUUAUGUAACUGCCUGCAUUACUCUCUCUCUCUCUCUCUCGCCCCUUACCCAUCCACUAUCAGUGUCUGUGUCCUCAGAGCGCGCUCCUGGCCUAGUCUCUGAUUGGCUCUGACAAAGUAAACAUGGCUGCCAUCAGAGCCCUUGUAAGUGGAGGAAGAAGGAGGGGGAGAUAUGGAAAUCACUAGAUGGCCACGCUAGAAACGACAUCAGCUAUUUCACAUGACCUGUUGAGAUAGUACAUGAGCUAUCUGCUCUGAAUCUACAUCUAGGGUUAUGUCUAAGAUUAGGAUAUAGGUUCAUGGUUAAAGUAAGAGGUUAGACAAAACAUAGUAAAUAUAAAUCUGACACUCUUUAGUAUGAUAUGUUACGUUUGGUGUUACAUAAGAGAGAAGUUUACUUAAUGCAAAAACAAAAGUAGGGUGGAUGGAUGGACAUAUAACACUAAAGUUUAGCAACCGAAGGUUGCGUGUUUGUAUCUCAUCACAGACAACUUUAGUAUUUUAGCUAAUGAGAAACUUUGCAUCUACUUAAUACUUUUUAACAACUUUACAAUUACUUAGCGUGUCAGCUAACCCUUCCCCUAAACCAGCGGGCGGUUCCCAAACUAGGGGUUGGGAGAAUUUCCAAAAUCCAGAUGAAAAUAAAUAUACACACAGUACCAGUCAAAUGUUUGGACACCCCUACUCAUUCAAGGGUUUUUCUUUAUUUUUACUAUUUUCUAUAUUGUAGAAUAAUAGUGAAGACAUCAAAACUUUGAAAUAACACAUAUGGAAUGUAGUAACCAAAUGAGUGUUAUACAAAUAAAAAACACUUUCGAUUUUAGAUUCUUCAAAGUAGCAACCAUUUGCCUUGAUGACAGCUUUGCACAUGCUUGGCAUUCUCUCAACCUGCUUCAUGAGGAAUGUUUUUCCAACACUCUCCAAGGAGUUCCCACAUAUGCUUAGCACUUGUUGGCGGCUUUUCCUUCACUCUGCGGUCCAAGUCAUCCUCAACCAUCUCCUCCUCCAUGCUUCACGGUGGGAACCACACAUGCAGAAAUCAUCUGUUCACCUACUCUGCAUCUCACAAAGACAGCAGUUGGAACCAAAAAUAGCAACUUUGGACUGAUCAGACCAAAGGACAGAUUUCCACCAGUCUAAUGCCCAUUGGUUGUGUUUCUUGGCCCAGGCAAGUCUCUUCUUAUUAUUGGUGUCUUGAAAUGUUCUUGAAAUGUUCCGGAUUGACUGACCUUCAUGUCUUAAGUUAAUAAUGGGCUGUCGUUUCUCUUUGCUUAUUUGAGCUGUUCUUUUCAAAAUACGGACUUGGUCUUUUACCAAAUAGGGCUAUCUUCUGUAUACCACCCCUACCUUGUCACAACACAACUGAUUGGCUAAAAGGCAUUAAAACUUCUUAGGGAUAGGAGUCCCGCUUAAAUUCUUGUUACUUUAACUGCACUGUCCGAUUUACAGUAGCUAUUACAGCAAAAACAUGCCAUGUGAUUGUUUGAGGUUGGCGUCCCACAUCAAAAUAUUUUUCCACCUGCACAGGUUUCAUACAUUCACAAAUAACGAUUAAAUAUUCACUUACUUUUUGAAAAUCUUCCUCUGAUAUGUCAUCCAAAGGGUCCCAGCUAUAACAUGUAGUGUCGUUUUGUUAGAUAAAAUCCUUCUUUAUAUCCCAAAAAAUCUGUUUAGUUGGUGCCAUCGAUUUGAGUUAUCCACUCGUUCAACGUGCGGAAAAAGGAAUCCAAAAAUCUACCCCUAAACUUUGUUUCAACAAGUCAAAAUCUGUUUCUAUUGAAACCUCGGAUACCCUAAAAUGUAAUCAAACUAUCAUUUUUCUUACGGAAAGAAGUAUGCUCAAUAGGAAAUAGAUUUAGCAGGUGCGUAUUGUCUUCAUGGCACGCGCAAACACGAAUUUCCAAGACUGUGUCCUUUUGCUAAAACGGAUAUUUCUUAUUCGUUUUUGAAGUUACAAGCCUGAAACCCUGAACAUAGACUGCUGACACCCUGUGGAAGCCAUAGGAAUUACAUCCAGGGAGCUCAUUUUCAAUAUGACCUUACUGUAACGUUCUGACCUUAGUUCCUUUGUUUUGUUUUAGUAUGGUCAAGGUGUGAGUUGGGGUGGGCAGUCUAUGUUUGUUUUUCUAGGUUGAUUUUUGAGUUUGGCCUGGUAUGGUUCUCAAUCAGAGGCAGGUGUCGUAAGUUGUCUCUGAUUGAGAAUCAUACUUAGGUAGCCUUUUUCCAUCUGUGUUUUGUGGGUGUUUAUUUUCUGUUUUGUGUGUCAUCACUAGACAGGACUGUUUCGUUUGUUCGUUCUUCCUAGUUGUUAUUUUGUUUAGUGUUCAGUUUUGCUUAUAUUAAAUAUCAUGAACACUUACCACGCUGCACCUUGGUCCUCACCUUCUUCCACC